CCAGGGUCCUUGAGCAUCCCUCUGAGCACUACCUAGAGAUAUGAACGUUUUCCCUUCGGGGGGACAGAGUGACAGGUGGUGCAUGGUUGUCGUCAGCUCGUGUCGUGAGAUGUUGGGUUUAAGUCCCGCAACGAGCGCAACCCUUGAUCUUAGUUGCCAGCAUUCAGUUGGGCACUCUAAGGUGACUGCCGGUGACAAACCGGAGGAAGGUGGGGAUGACGUCAAAUCAUCAUGCCCCUUAUGACCUGGGCUACACACGUGCUACAAUGGAUGGUACAAAGGGCUGCAAAACCGCAAGGUCUAGCCAAUCCCAUAAAACCAUUCUCAGUUCGGAUUGUAGGCUGCAACUCGCCUACAUGAAGCCGGAAUCGCUAGUAAUCGCGGAUCAGCAUGCCGCGGUGAAUACGUUCCCGGGCCUGGUACACACCGCCCGUCACACCACGAGAGUUUGUAACACCCGAAGUCGGUGGGGUAACCGUAAGGAGCC
rnacentral:rRNA from 2 species